GUAAGUAAAGUUAUGUUUUUAUUUUACCAAGCUAUAACCACCUGUCUCCCAAAAAUCACAAAAACAUUUCACCAUCGUGAUUCUAUGCGAACCACCAAUGCCGCCGUUCACCUCCGGCGGCACACUUCACCUCCGCCGUUCACACUAAUCCUCAGUUCCCGCGAUUCAAUUUCUUCACUGAAUUUCAGCAUCUGGAAUUUUUUCUUCAUUGUUGCAAUUGUUGAGAAGAAAAUGGGAGCACCGAAGAAAAGCGCUGCUAGGGUUUCAGAGGAUCACGAUGAGCUUGUUCGUGUUCCGUUACAAGCGAUUAUGUUAGCUGAUAGUUUUACUACCAAGUUAGACCUAUCACUCUUGAACGCCCCAAAGUGCUUUUGCCAUUGGUGAAUGUUCCAAUGAUAUAUUACACAUUGACAUGGCUUGAAUCAGCUGGUGUAGAAGAGGUUUUUGUUUUCUGUUGUGCUCAUGCGAAGCAGGUGAUUAACUAUUUGGAGAAAUCUGAGUGGUUUAAUCAACCUAAUUUUACUGUAACAACCUAUGAAGCACGGAGACUCCUCGGAUUAGGCGUGUCCCAGUGUCGGACACGUGUCGUGUCCGAUACCGACACGACACCGACACUUGUAAUUACACCGAAUUAUGUGAUAUUUUCAAAUUAUUAGUUGUGUCGGCGUGUCAGUGUCCGUGUCGUGUCUGGUGUCCGUAUCCGUGCUUCAUAGGUAACAACUAUUGAGUCUCAAAAUUGUGUCAGUGCUGGAGAUGCACUGCAUAUACGAGCGCAAUGUGGUAUGUAUUUUCUUCAUUUCGUUCUUCAAUUUCAACUUAUGUCGGAAAAUUUCCAGCUAUCGUAAAUAUGCUACAUUGCCAUUCACAUAUAUUGUAAGACUUAAAAAGUUGAUACUAUAAUUUGAACUUUGUAUUGAACAAUGGUUGUUGUGUUCUUGGUUAGAAUUUGUUUUCAGUUAAGAAACCUGGAUAAAUAAUAUGAUAUGGGUACAAUCUCUGUUGUCAAUGCGGAAAUGCGGCGUGGCGCGGCCAACCUAAUAAUUGGCGCGGUGCGGGAGCAGGGCGUGUAGCGGGCGCUAUUUCGGUGGUGUGGCCACUAAUAAAUUUAAUACUAGAUACCAUACUAUUCAAAAAGAAAUACUAAAAUACCUUAAACAUUACUCAAAAUUUCAUGAUGUAUUCAUAAUAUGAAAUAAAAGGGAUAGCAAAAUCGAAAAUGGCUAAUACCAAUUAUAUACAACUAGUACAAGUUAUUGUUUUACUAUUUAUAGGUCCACUUUGGCCGCUUUCCACUUCUGACAUGUGCCGACGCGGCCUGGUGCGGUGGUCCUGAUUUUUCCACUAUAGCGGCUGGCGCGGCUGCUUUUGACAACAGAGGGUACAAUAUGACACUGAUUUAAGGAUUAAAGAGAAAAUUUUGAAAAUCAAGGAAUGGCUAAGAUAUGGUAACAAAAGACAUUUGCAUUACUUAUUUGUUGCUCAUUAAUACACGAAUAUUUUAGUAGUUAAUAUAUGAUGAUCACAAGUAAUUGUGAUCAUCCAACAAUAGGCUUAGUGACAUAUGUUUUUCACAUCUAUAUCAGAAUAUAUUAUUUCUACUGUGAAUGUGUUGGCUCCUCUGGGUAAAAAAUCAGAUUUUAGAAAAAAGAAUCAAAGAAAAACAUGCAGGGAUUUCUCUGCAAGGGAGAAUUUCCUUUUCCAACAUAAUACAGUUUUUAUUAUGAUCAAUCAAAAUGAAUGAAUCCCAAACAUGGGGUACAACUGUAUUUGUGAUCUCCUCCCUAGCUGCUACUAACUACUAAUUUCCAGCUUUUCCCCCUCUUAACUGCUAACUGCUGCAUAAACUUAGUGGUCCCUAUUCCUUCUAGAGAAUUUUGGAAUCUCUUGGUUCCUAACAGAAUGUGUCACAAAAACAUACAAUUUUGUGUCUUUCGUUAGUAAGAUGUAUUAAAGAUGUAUCAUAUCUAAAUAUGAUACAUCAGUCACACAUUACUCUAGUCAUAGACCAUCCAACCUCCAACUGACCUUAUCUAAAUAUGCUAAAGAACCAAUGUUCAAUUUCGUUUAGAAGCUAUGCCAUCUUCAUGGAAUGUGUUCAUAACUAUUAUCUUUCCGGAACUGCAAUUCUUUGACUCUGGUGUUCUCGUCAUAUUUGUUGAUUGUUUUUAUUUGAAGACACUUUGAAUCUGCAUUCACUAGGAACUAAUUUGUAGAAACAUUGUUUUUAUUCGUGUUAGGUUGUCAUACAAUAAGAUAGCUGCUGAUUGUGCUGGAGCUUUAUUUUAUGCAAUGAUGAAGUAUGCUGUAGACAUGCCCCAUAGUUCAGCCGAUUGAAGUGAUUCUAAAAUUUGAAGAAAUGUGUUUGGAAUCUGCUAAGGAGUUUGCUCCAUUGUUCACAAAGUUGCUUUCAGAUUUUGCACUACAUGUAUAAUGAAGAUGUUAUAGAAGAAGAUGCUAUUUUGAGUUGGGAAGAUGAGAAGAAAGACCCGGAUGAGGCUGAUAAAGUAUUUGUUAACCUAGCCCAACCAUUAAUUCAAUGGCUAAAAGAGGCUCCCGAAGAAGACGAUGAAGAGGAAGAGUAGAAAGAAUCGUCGAGGUGCUAUCAUCUUGGGAGCUUAAGAGGGAUUUUUGUGCAUUAAUCUAACCUUUGAAUUCAAGUGUGAUUCUCUUUUCACACGGUAUGCGUGUUCUUUUCAGUUUGGAUUCAAUUUAGAGAAACACCAGCUUUGGGUCAUGUAUUUUAUUUAAUAAUUGCCUUAAAUGAGGGAAAAAAAAAAUGCUAAUAGAAAUAGGCUUCAUGAUUAGAAGAAAAAUAAAGAUUAAGGUAUGAUUGUUUUCCACAUCUCUUGAUGCUCCAAUCCCUUUUGCUAUUCAACUUUAAAUGACCCUUGUUGCAAAUCCUAUAAGCUAUAUAGUAAUUUGUAGCAUUAGUUGAGAAGAAAUGUUAUAUUCACAUCAAAA